rnacentral:rRNA from 1 species
GAUGAACGCUAGCUACAGGCUUAACACAUGCAAGUCGAGGGGAAACGACAGGGAGUGCUUGCACACUCUGGGCGUCGACCGGCGCACGGGUGAGUAACGCGUAUCCAACCUGCCCACCACUUGGGAAUAACCUUGCGAAAGUAAGACUAAUGCCCAAUGAUAUUGAGUGCAGACAUCUAAUCUCAAUUAAAGAUUUAUCGGUGAUGGAUGGGGAUGCGUCCGAUUAGCUUGUUGGCGGGGUAACGGCCCACCAAGGCAACGAUCGGUAGGGGUUCUGAGAGGAAGGUCCCCCACAUUGGAACUGAGACACGGUCCAAACUCCUACGGGAGGCAGCAGUGAGGAAUAUUGGUCCAAUGGGCGAGAGCCUGAACCAGCCAAGUAAGCGUGCAGGAUGACGGCCCUAUGGGUUGUAAACUAGCUUUUAUUAAGGGAAUAAAGUAGGGGCGUCGUGAGCUCUUUUGUCAUGUACCUUA